rnacentral:rRNA from 1 species
ACCUGAGAACCCGAAGGUCGAAGGGAGAAAUUCAUUCGCGUUUCGUCGCCGCCGUUCUGCGGGGUCUCGAGCGACCGAUAGAGGGCGUUCACGCGCCGUCUCUAUUGGCGCGACCCGUUGUUACGGACGCGCGUACGAACGCGUGCACUUUUCUCCCGGUAGGACGUCGCGAUCCGUCGGGCGUCGGUCUACGGACCGCGGUGGAGUCCGUUCGUCGUCGUUUCGCGCGACGUUGCGGACGGACCCGCGGUAUCCCGGCCGACAGGCUCGACGGUAUGAUUAAGGUUCCGGGCCGCUACUUUNNNNNNNNNNUUUACUUUUAGCGUUCGGCCCUCGGCAAGCGCAUCGUCGGCGUCGUAGAUUCGGACCUAGUACCGAUCGCGACCCGCGGUGACUGUUGGCCGUAGGAUGUUCUCGAACAGACCCUCCGAACCGAUCCGCGACGCUAUAGCUUUGGGUAAUUUCAGGGCCCGUCUUGAAACACGGACCAAGGAGUCUAGCAUGUACGCGAGUCAUUGGGAAACACUAAACCUAAAGGCGUAAUGAAAGUAAAGAUUCUCCUCGCGGGAAUCGAGGGAAGAUGGGCGUGUGUUAGCCGUUAAAAGCGACCGCCCAGCACUCCCGGGGCGUCUCGUUCUCAUCGCGAGAAGAGGCGCACCAAGAGCGUACACGCUGACCCGAAAGA